rnacentral:rRNA from 1 species
GAUGAACGUUGGCGGCGUGCCUAAUACAUGCAAGUCGAACGAAGACUGUAGUAGUACUGUCUUAGUGGCGAACGGGUGAGUAAUGUAUCGGAACGUACCAUUCAGUGGGGGAUAACGUAGCGAAAGUUACGCUAAUACCGCAUAUUCUGUGAGCAGGAAAGCAGGGGAUCGCAAGACCUUGCGCUGAUUGAGCGGCCGAUAUCAGAUUAGCUAGUUGGUGAGGUAAAGGCUCACCAAGGCGACGAUCUGUAGCGGGUCUGAGAGGAUGAUCCGCCACACUGGAACUGAGACACGGUCCAGACUCCUACGGGAGGCAGCAGUGGGGAAUUUUGGACAAUGGGGGCAACCCUGAUCCAGCCAUGCCGCGUGAGUGAAGAAGGCCUUCGGGUUGUAAAGCUCUUUCGGCCGGGAAAAAAUUCGCAUACAGUUAAUACCUGGUGUGGGAUGAUGGUACCGGAAUAAGAAGCACCGGCUAACUACGUG